rnacentral:rRNA from 1 species
CAGUCGCCGCGGUAAUACAGAGGGUGCGAGCGUUAAUCGGAUUUACUGGGCGUAAAGCGUGCGUAGGCGGCUAAUUGAGUCGGAUGUGAAAUCCCUGAGCUUAACUUAGGAAUUGCAUUCGAUACUGGGAAGCUAGAGUAUGGGAGAGGAUGGUAGAAUUCCAGGUGUAGCGGUGAAAUGCGUAGAGAUCUGGAGGAAUACCGAUGGCGAAGGCAGCCAUCUGGCCUAAUACUGACGCUGAGGUACGAAAGCAUGGGGAGCAAACAGGAUUAGAUACCCCUGUAGUCCCUGUCUCUUAUAA